UCACGGCAGCGUGGGCGAGCGCGGUGACGUCACCUGCCAGCCUCGGGCCUUUGCGUGCGGGGACAGUUCUUAUGAGGCCCUGCUGAUAAGCCGGGGUUGGCUUCCUUUUGGCCUUCUGUCCCUUCCCAGGAGUUCAGAGUCCACCAAGAGAAAAGACGAACACCAUGAAACUCUAAUCUGUGCGCCCGGCUUCCGGAAGUUCUUUUAACUUCAGGGAGUUAUACAGCUUGUGCCUGUCAAUGGAGAUCAAAGGACAAGGGAAAAAGGGGGUUUCAUGGUCAGACAGCCAGGUGCUGAGCAUGUCAUCAACUAUUCUUUCCAGAGGCUAAGUCUAGACUGCACCAUCCCUGUCCUGGGGACAGCCACCAGCCCAAAGCCCAAGGCUGAAGGACACAUCACAUCACUUGCUCAGGUGACACUGUUCCCAGGAUGGACUGACUUUAGUCUCAAGGACGACACACAGACAAGAUACCAUCCCCUGGCUCAAAUCCCUCUUCUUCCCUUCUUGAGAACACAGGUAUUUUAGAGGCCACUGGACUAGGUGUUAGGAGCACCAGGGCUUUGGAAUAAAACAUGGGCUUGCAUGUCA